rnacentral:rRNA from 1 species
CCUACGGGCGGCUGCAGUGGGGAAUAUUGGACAAUGGGGGAAACCCUGAUCCAGCAACGCCGCGUGGAGGAUGAAGGUCUUCGGAUUGUAAACUCCUGUUAGGGGGGACGAAGGGAUGUCGGCGAACAGUCGGCAAACUUGACGGUACCCCCAGAGGAAGCCCCGGCUAACUCUGUGCCAGCAGCCGCGGUAAUACAGAGGGGGCAAGCGUUAUUCGGAAUUAUUGGGCGUAAAGGGCGCGUAGGCGGCCUUGUAAGUCUUGGGUGAAAUCCCUCAGCUCAACUGAGGAACUGCCUCGGAUACUGCAAGGCUUGAGGCCGGGAGAGGGUAGUGGAAUUCCCAGUGUAGCGGUGAAAUGCGUAGAUAUUGGGAGGAACACCGGUGGCGAAGGCGGCUACCUGGACCGGUUCUGACGCUGAUGCGCGAAAGCGUGGGGAGCAAACAGGAUUAGAUACCCCUGUAGUC